CAUUGAAAUACCUGUUCCCAACUGAUCACUGAAGUUAAGCAAUGUCAAGCUAGGUCAGUACUUAGAUGGGUGAACACUUGGGAAUACCAG